UACGAAGGGGGCUAGCGUUGUUCGGAUUUACUGGGCGUAAAGCGCACGUAGGCGGAUCGUUAAGUCGGGGGUGAAAUCCUGGAGCUCAACUCCAGAACUGCCUUCGAUACUGGCGAUCUUGAGUCCGGAAGAGGUGAGUGGAACUCCGAGUGUAGAGGUGAAAUUCGUAGAUAUUCGGAAGAACACCAGUGGCGAAGGCGGCUCACUGGCCCGGUACUGACGCUCAGGUGCGAAAGCGUGGGGAGCAAACAGG
rnacentral:rRNA from 1 species